rnacentral:lncRNA from 1 species
GAAGCUCCAAAAAGCUGCAGCAGUUACUUAAAGCAAAAUUUACCACAGCCUUCACAAACACAAACAGCAAUAUCAACUUCUAGCAUGACUAGUUUCAAAAUGAAAAAGAGAGAGAGAAAUAAAUUAGGCAAAAUUGACCUCCCUAAAUAUCAGAGAAAAAUGCUCUUUGAUCGAUUCAGGUUCCUACCGCCAUUCCUAGUUUUAUUCAUUAGGGAUACAGUUAAUUUUGCCCACCAAGAAAAUGAAUGAUCCCUCACUGAGAAGGUGGCCAGAAUUACAACUUAUGUGCUCAUAACGAGUCAAAUAUCAACUAGUCCCACAGUUUCGA